rnacentral:rRNA from 1 species
UACGUAGGGGGCAAGCGUUGUCCGGAUUUACUGGGCGUAAAGAGCGUGUAGGCGGCCACGCAGGUCCGUUGUGAAAACUGGAGGCUCAACUUCCAGCCGUCGACGGAAACCGUGUGGCUAGAGUCCGGGAGAGGAGAGUGGAAUUCCUGGUGUAGCGGUGAAAUGCGCAGAUAUCAGGAAGAACACCCGUGGCGAAGGCGGCUCUCUGGGACGGUACUGACGCUGAGACGCGAAAGCGUGGGGAGCGAACAGG